rnacentral:lncRNA from 1 species
UCCUGUUUAAGGACUGGAUUUAGGAUAACUACUUAGAGGUUAAAAGUCACAAGGGUGUAUGGAUGAGGCUGGAGUGAUCUGGGACCAAAGACAUCUAGGCUUGCUGUCAAGGCUUCUGAUCAACAUGAGAUGACCGCCGUGUGGUAAACUGAUGAACCCCGACCCUGAUCAACGUGAGAUGACCGCCGUGUGGUAAACUGAUGAACCCCGACCCUGAUGAACAUGAGAUGACCGCCGUGUGGUAAACUGAUGAACCCCGACCCUGAUCAACAUGAGAUGACCGCCGUGUGGUAAACUGAUGAACCCCGACCCUGAUCAACAUGAGAUGACCGCCGUGUGGUAAACUGAUGAACCCCGACCCUGAUGAACGUGAGAUGACCGCCG